AGAUGACUGGUUAGAGGACCAGGGUAACUAAGUCCACGUCUGAAAAAAUAACCAAUGUUCUGAAUGUACUUGAAAGUAUUGGUCUACUUACCUAUAGGCUACCUGAAUUUCUGAAAGUACUAUAUUUCUAAAUAUGCUAUUGCUACACUUGUCUGCUGGAAUUGGUUGAACAAAAAUAAAAAUCCAUGUGAAAAAAAUGA